UUCAGAGGUCUCAAGCGUUGUUCGGAUUCAUUGGGCGUAAAGGGUGCGUAGGUGGCGUGGUAAGUCUGGUGUGAAAUCCCGGGGCUCAACCCCGGAACUGCACUGGAUACUGCCAUGCUUGAGUACUGGAGAGGAGAUUGGAAUUUACGGUGUAGCAGUGAAAUGCGUAGAUAUCGUAAGGAAGACCAGUGGCGAAGGCGAAUCUCUGGACAGUUACUGACACUGAGGCACGAAGGCCAGGGGAGCAAACGGG
rnacentral:rRNA from 1 species